rnacentral:rRNA from 1 species
UGAGGAAUUUUGCGCAAUGGGCGAAAGCCUGACGCAGCAACGCCGCGUGGACGAUGAAGGUCUUCGGAUCGUAAAGUCCUGUCGAGUGGGAAGAAAAAUGCGGGGGUGAAUAUCCCUUGCAUUCGACUGUACCACCAGAGGAAGCCCCGGCUAACUCCGUGCCAGCAGCCGCGGUAAUACGGAGGGGGCUAGCGUUGUUCGGAAUUAUUGGGCGUAAAGGGCGCGUAGGCGGCCGGAUAAGUCUGACGUGAAAUCCCUCGGCCUAACCGAGGAACUGCGUUUGAAACUGUCCGGCUCGAGUCCGGGAGAGGGUAGUGGAAUUCCCAGUGUAGCGGUGAAAUGCGUAGAUAUUGGGAGGAACACCGGUGGCGAAGGCGGCUACCUGGACCGGUACUGACGCUGGGGCGCGAAAGCCAGGGGAGCAAACAG